rnacentral:misc_RNA from 1 species
GAUGAAGAACGCAGCGAAAUGCGAUAAGUAGUGUGAAUUGCAGAAUUCAGUGAAUCAUCGAAUCUUUGAACGCACAUUGCGCUUCCUGGUAUUCCGGGGAGCACCCCCGUUCCAGAAUCAAUAAAAAUCUCACCGAGUUUGGUGCUUUCGGGCAUUAGACCCAGGUGGAGUUGGAUUUUUGCUUCCGGCAAUCAUCUGAAAUACAUUGUGUGUGCACCAAUUGCUCGGUCUCUUGGUUGUCAGAGUGCAACAGAUUUAUCUAUUCGCUUGGACGACUGGCUGACUGCUUUGAUGCGCAUUCAUCCCUCAUUGCACGGAAUUCGAAUCGGAUGGUUCGGAUUCUGAUAACUUGAUCUGGAAUCGGGCGGGAAAACCCGCUGAACUUAAGCAUAUCAAUAAGCGGAGGA